GACAGAGGUGCCGAGCGUUAGGCGGAAUCACUGGGCUUAAAGCGUGUGUAGGCGGGCGAUCAAGUACCUUGUGAAAUCCCACGGCUCAACCGUGGAACCGCUGGGUAUACUGGUUGUCUUGAGCCGGCUAGGGGCGAGCGGAACAGACGGUGGAGCGGUGAAAUGCGUAGAUAUCGUCUGGAACGCCGAAGGUGAAAACAGCUCGCUGGGGCCGCGCUGACGCUGAGACGCGAAAGCGUGGGGAGCAAACAGG
rnacentral:rRNA from 1 species